UACAGAGGUCUCAAGCGUUGUUCGGAUUCAUUGGGCGUAAAGGGCGCGUAGGCGGCGGGGCAAGUCGGGUGUGAAAUCUCAGAGCUCAACUCUGAAACUGCAUUCGAUACUGCGGUGCUUGAGGACUGGAGAGGAGACUGGAAUUCAUGGUGUAGCAGUGAAAUGCGUAGAGAUCAUGAGGAAGACCAGUGGCGAAGGCGGGUCUCUGGACAGUUCCUGACACUGAGACACGAAGGCCAGGGGAGCAAACGGG
rnacentral:rRNA from 1 species